rnacentral:rRNA from 1 species
ACGGGAGGCAGCAGUGGGGGAUAUUGCACAAUGGGGGAAACCCUGAUGCGGCGACGCCGCGUGAGUGAAGAAGUAUUUCGGUAUGUAAAGCUCUUUAAGCUGGAAAGAUAAUGACGGUACCAGCAGAAUAAGCCCCGGCUAACUACGUGCCAGCAGCCGCGGUAAUACGUAGGGGGCAAGCGUUAUCCGGAUUUACUGGGUGUAAAGGGAGCGUAGACGGUAAAGCAAGUCUGAAGUGAAAUCAUAGGGCUCAACCCUGUAAUUGCUUUGGAAACUGUUUAACUAGAGUACCGGAGGGGCAGGCGGAAUUCCUGUUGUAGCGGUGAAAUGCGUAGAUAUUAGGAGGAACACCAGUGGCGAAGGCGGCUUACUGGACUGUAACUGACGUUGAGGCUCGAAAGCGUGGGGAGCAAACAGGAUUAGAUACCCUGGUA